AUUGAACGCUGGCGGCAGGCUUAACACAUGCAAGUCGAGCGGUAGAGUCCUUCGGGGCUUGAGAGCGGCGGACGGGUGAGUAAUACAUAGGAAUCUGCCUGUUAGUGGGGGAUAGCCCGGGGAAACCCGGAUUAAUACCGCAUACGCCCUACGGGGGAAAGGAGGGGAUCUUCGGACCUUCCGCUAACAGAUGAGCCUAUGUCGGAUUAGCUUGUUGGUGAGGUAAAGGCUCACCAAGGCGACGAUCCGUAACUGGUCUGAGAGGAUGAUCAGUCACACUGGAACUGAGACACGGUCCAGACUCCUACGGGAGGCAGCAGUGGGGAAUAUUGGACAAUGGGGGCAACCCUGAUCCAGCCAUGCCGCGUGUGCGAUGAAGGCUUUCGGGUUGUAAGCACUUUCAGUCGGGAGGAAAGGGACGGCAGGCUAAUACCUCGUGUAGUUAGACGUUACC
rnacentral:rRNA from 1 species